UACGUAGGCAGCGAGCGUUGUUCGGAAUUACUGGGCGUAAAGCGUGCGUAGGCGGUUUGUUAAGACAGGUGUGAAAUCCCCGGGCUUAACCUGGGAACUGCGCUUGUUACUGGCAGACUGGAGUGUGGCAGAGGGGGGUGGAAUUCCAGGUGUAGCAGUGAAAUGCGUAGAUAUCUGGAGGAACACCGAUGGCGAAGGCAGCCCCCUGGGCUAACACUGACGCUGGAUGCACGAAAGCGUGGGGAGCAAACAGG
rnacentral:rRNA from 1 species